AGUGAACGCUGGCGGUAGGCCUAACACAUGCAAGUCGAACGGCAGCACAGAGGAGCUUGCUCCUUGGGUGGCGAGUGGCGGACGGGUGAGGAAUACAUCGGAAUCUACUCUGUCGUGGGGGAUAACGUAGGGAAACUUACGCUAAUACCGCAUACGACCUACGGGUGAAAGCAGGGGACCUUCGGGCCUUGCGCGAUUGAAUGAGCCGAUGUCGGAUUAGCUAGUUGGCGGGGUAAAGGCCCCCCAAGGCGACGAUCCGUAGCUGGUCUGAGAGGAUGAUCAGCCACACUGGAACUGAGGGACGGUCCAGACUCCUACGGGAGGCAGCAGUGGGGAAUAUUGGACAAUGGGCGCAAGCCUGAUCCAGCCAUACCGCGUGGGUGAAGAAGGCCUUCGGGUUGUAAAGCCCUUUUGUUGGGAAAGAAAUCCAGCUGGCUAAUACCCGGUUGGGAUGACGGUACCCAAAGAAUAAGCACCGGCUAACUUCGUGCCAGCCGCCGCGGUAA
rnacentral:rRNA from 1 species